rnacentral:rRNA from 1 species
GCAUAUCAAUAAGCGGAGGAAAAGAAACCAACAGGGAUUGCCUUAGUAACGGCGAGUGAAGCGGCAAAAGCUCAAAUUUGAAAUCGGCCMCCAGGUCGAGUUGUAAUUUGUAGAUUGUAUCUUGAGAGCGGAUUAAAGUCUGUUGGAACACAGCGCCUUAGAGGGUGACAGCCCCGUAAAAUCUAUUCUCAUUGUAAGAUACUUUCGAAGAGUCGAGUUGUUUGGGAAUGCAGCUCUAAGUGGGAGGUAAAUUCCUUCUAAAGCUAAAUAUUGACGAGAGACCGAUAGCGAACAAGUACUGUGAAGGAAAGAUGAAAAGCACUUUGAAAAGAGAGUGAAAAAGUACGUGAAAUUGUUAAAAGGGAAGGGUAUUGAAUCAGACUUGGUGCUGUUGUUCAACUGUGUUUCGGCAUAGUGUACUCAGCAGUACUAGGCCAAGGUGGGGUGUUUGGGAGUGAAAAAGAAGUWGGAAGGUAACUCUUCGGAGUGUUAUAGCCUACUUUCAUAGCUCCUCAGGCGCCUCAGGACUGCGCUUCGGCAAGGACCUUGGCAUAAUGAUUCUAUACCGCCCGUCGUCUUGAAAGGACC